rnacentral:lncRNA from 1 species
UUAGUUUGUUUGAAAGCCUAUAAAUAGUUCUGAAGUGUUUGUCACAAAUACACAACACAUAAGAGCUGUUGUGCUCUGCACACUACCACACACACGAAUAAAUAUUAGCUUAUCUUUGUAAUAGAUAUAUUUUUUGGAGCUAGGAUUUUGAGUGAGUGUAGUGGUAGCUCUUGUAGCCAACCUUCGGGUUUGGAUUUAUAGCACCCUUCGAGGUAUUCAUCAAUAUACAGAUAUACCUUGGAAAAUAUUGUGUGUUGGUUUAAUAUUUUCAUAUCCUCAGAAACCGACCCAAUAAAUAUCCGGAACACGAAACCCAUUACAGGACUGCAAUUUAUUUAUCCGCAAGAUUCGAAAGAAUUUUAAAUUGUAGUGAGUAUCGUAUUCAACCCCCUCUUCUACGAUACUUUGGACCUAACAAUUGGUAUCAGAGCCAGGCUGAUUGAUAUACAAAUCAGGAUCCUUAUCGUACGGAAAAUCAAGAACCUAGCUUUCGAUAUUUGAUUAGGGGAAAUGUUCUUCCGGUUUGUGUUGCUGAAUUUGUC